CGCGUAGGCGGUUUGUACAGUCGGAUGUGAAAUUCCUGGGCUCAACCUGGGGGCUGCAUCCGAGACGUGCAGACUGGAGUGUGGAAGAGGGUCGUGGAAUUCCCAGUGUAGAGGUGAAAUUCGUAGAUAUUGGGAAGAACACCGGUGGCGAAGGCGGCGACCUGGUCCAUUACUGACGCUGAGGCGCGAAAGCGUGGGGAGCAAACAGGAUUAGAUACCCUGGUAGUCCACGCCGUAAACGAUGUGCGCUGGAUGUUGGGCGGCCUAGCCGCUCAGUGUCGUAGCCAACGCGGUAAGCGCACCGCCUGGGGAGUACGGCCGUAAGGUUGAA
rnacentral:rRNA from 1 species